rnacentral:tRNA from 1 species
GGACGGGUGGCCGAGUGGUUUAAGGCAGCGGUCUUGAAAACCGCCGAUGGUGGAAGCCAUCCGUGGGUUCGAAUCCCACCCCGUCCGCCA